rnacentral:rRNA from 1 species
UACGGGGGGGGCUAGCGUUGUUCGGAAUUACUGGGCGUAAAGCGCACGUAGGCGGCGACGUAAGUCUUGUGUGAAAUCCAACGGCUCAACCGUUGAACGGCAUUUGAAACUGCGUUGCUCGAGUCCGGGAGAGGAUGGUUGAAUUCCCAGUGUAGCGGUGAAAUGCGUAGAUAUUGGGAGGAACACCGGUGGCGAAGGCGGCCAUCUGGACCGGCACUGACGCUGAGGUGCGAAAGCUAGGGUAGCAAACGGG